GGUGCUCAGCCACGCUACAAGAGGCGGGCCUAGUUUGCGGCAUCUAAUUGGCAGAGCGUUGGGCGAGCUUUGCUCGCUGAUUGGUCGAGGUAGCUGCCGGAAAGGGCCCAGCCUUGAGAUGGGAGAGCGGAGGCGUUCUGUGGGC